rnacentral:misc_RNA from 1 species
UGCCACAAGGUGGUGAUAAGCGGGAGUGUGGAGUGGCGGGAGUUCGCAGUCACUCUGAGACAGUGGUACCGAGCAGACGUCUGUCGAUUGGCUUGUGAUACUUACACGCACCCAAAAUGACGACGGCGGACCAGCUUACCGAGGAACAGAUUGCCGAAUUCAAGGAGGCGUUCUCCCUGUUCGAUAAGGAUGGUGACGGCACAAUCACAACCAAGGAAUUGGGCACCGUCAUGAGGUCACUUGGACAGAACCCCACCGAGGCUGAGCUUCAGGACAUGAUCAACGAAGUGGACGCUGACGGCAAUGGAACGAUCGACUUCCCCGAGUUCCUGACGAUGAUGGCGCGUAAGAUGAAGGACACUGACUCCGAGGAAGAGAUCAGGGAAGCCUUCAGGGUGUUUGAUAAGGAUGGUAAUGGCUUCAUCUCAGCGGCUGAGCUUAGGCACGUGAUGACCAACCUUGGGGAGAAACUUACCGAUGAGGAAGUCGACGAGAUGAUCAGGGAAGCUGAUAUUGAUGGUGACGGUCAGGUUAACUAUGAAGAGUUUGUGAGAAUGAUGACCUCAAAGUAGCGCCUCGUCGCCCUGUUCUCCUCCCCUCGCCCGUGACUCACCUUCCUAACCUUAGUUUUACCUAGUUCGUCACAAUGAUGACCUCAAAGUGAAGUGAUCGUGCCCACUAAAUAUUGUAAACAAAUUUCAAACGAACAGUUUUUUCUGCUUUCCAGUUUUAUCUUGUUAACGGAACUGCUAAAACCCAUUAUAAUAAACGAGUCACCAUACUAUCUCUUACUUGCUAAAAUCUUGUAUUGCCUUUAUACACUAUCUGGCUCUUUAAGCGCUACCGUCUCAAACAACCACGACAACCACCACCACCACUCUGCCGCUGCCAACACCGCCACCACCACUACUACUACAUCUACUACUUCCAAGAAUUACGAUUGCUGCUACCAACACAACCACCCUGUACUGCCGAAGAAGCCACCACCAUCAGUCAGUCAGUAGCAGCGAAGAUGACGCCAUGCUUUCGUCAGCAGGUGUGGGCGUGGGAGGGUGUGGAGGCGCUUACGGGCGUGCCUGACGGGAAGCCCCCCACUAGGAGUUAAGGACUCGUCGCCCGUAACGGUAGCGCAGUUAUACAUGGGUUGGUUGUUCUAGGGACGCGCUUCGGGUGGCUGGCCUUCUAGAAAAUAUUGAUAUUUAACCGUUAUAUAUACAUAUUACUUAGUAGAAACAGUGUUUGGAUGUGGGGAGAGAGUUUCUUCGCCUGCGUCAAAUACCACCCCAGCACCGCCAACCUUCCUGUAAAGGGAGACAUUAAAGUGUUGCUGGGAUGCCAGAGGAUGAAAACAACUUGUGUAACCCACAGUGGCACCCAUUGUGAAUACAAAUUGCAGCUGGUAAUGAAUUGACGCUAUUGGGAAGAUAAGAAAUAUGGCAUGGAUAUCCCUUAUGAUACAUCACUCAGCGACGAAGGCUCUUCCCCCUUCCCCCCAAGUGUAAGAACUAAUAUAUCAUCGCAACUCUCCCAACACCUUGGAGGACUGCCACCCAUACUCGUCUCUCAAGACCACUAAGCUCUUUCUCUCAUUUUUAUUAGUCCUGUUCUAAAUGAAAGUGGAAAGCUAGGUUGGUCAGUUUUUAAUAAACUGUCGUAGCAAAUUAUCAUUUUUUUUUUUUUUUUAGUUAAUCCAUUGUUUUUCUGCGAGAUGCAUUGUAAAGGAGGAACCUGAGUCCCGCCUGACCUCGCCUGACCCGGGGUCGGUGGUGGCCAUGUUGAGGACCCUUUUUUUUAAUUCCUCUCUUUCUUUUUAUAUUAUUGAACGUUCGCUCAUAGCGACCAUUUUAUAUUUUGUCUGAAAGUCAAUUAUACAGUAAAUAAGGAAGGAGAGGGUGCGCUGUAUUUUUGUGUUGAUUGAAUGAGGUCGAUACAUUUACGUAUCAUAUACUUCUUGUUAGCUGUGUCUUUGUCAAUUUUCUUAAGGAAUAGCAAAUGUAUACAUAUUGCAAAAAACAAAAAUGAACAGUUGAAAAUUUACUCUUGUACUACAUAAUACUAAUGUAAGGCACGUCGCAUCUAUCAAUUUGUUUUAUUUUUUGUUUCUUGUCCACCUCCCACAUUGUUUCACACUGUUUGUUAAGGAUGCCACUUUGAACGCGGAGGCGCUCUAACAGUGAGCUUGACCACUCUUAUUAUUAUGAUUACCAUUCACCAUGCUCAUUAAUGAUGGUUAUAUUAUUAUUGUGUAGGAAAAUAUGGUACUUUAAAACCAGUUUCUCUUUCUGCAACAUGUCACUUUAAUUUAAUUUUUUUUCCUUGUACUUUUCUUGCCAAGUGCGGCAUUGUUGGAUUUUUUUUUAAGCUUAUCUGGGUCUCAACAGUUGACGGAAGGUUUGUAGUCACGCUUCUCAAUUUUGUUUACAUCGCCCAGGGUGGUGACCAUAGCAACGCCCACUCCUAGAUGUGACGCUCCCGGCCCCGCCCACCAGUUUGGAGUGUGGGCGAGGACUGGCGAUGUGUUAGUUUUGGGGUGGUGGGUGAUGCUGGGUACCCACCCUGCAGGCUAUUUUAGAUUCAUUUGGGGGAACCUUAUAUUGGUGGUGCGUGGCGGUAGUUCUGUUGUGUAUCUACCAACAUUGUCUGACACGCGACCAAACUCCGCUUCGCGAUGAACAUUCCUUUAACGCUGCUAUGUUUGUGAGGGGGCGUGGCGCUGUGCGUGUGGUUGAAGCUCGCGCCGCGUCGCCCGUCUUGUUUUAAGUGUGGUACGUGAGGUGAGCGGGAAGUGGCAGGGAGAGUUGGAGAGACACCUGGACCACUGGUGGUCUAGGGAAGGGGGAGAGGGAGGCUGGGCCAGGGCUGGUAGUAACUGCUGCUGCCUUAGCGGACUACUGCUAUACCCACCCAUCACCACCACCUCCAGCACCUGCUGCUGCCACCCAGGGCUGCCUCCACUGCUCUCCCUGCCGCCCCCGCACCCCCAAGCCCUCAGUUGGUGAGACCCGGUGCCGCAGGAACGUUUCCCUACCAUCACCGCCACCCAGCAGCAGCGCCAUUAGCUCGAGCACUGCAGUAGCAGGAGUAUUCGAGUGGUGUUGUUGUCCAGUAGGGUGAUGACUGGUGGAACAGCUGUGCCGACCGGCCGCCCCGCUCCGCCCCACCCACCACCACCACCUGCACCAGUAUGAACGUUUUAUCAACUAAACUAUGUCUUGUGUGUUGGGCCCGCCAUUAAUUUAUUAUAUAUAUAUAUAUAUAUAUAUAUAUAUAUAUAUAUAUAUAUAUAUAUAUAUAUAUAUAUAUAUAUAUAUAUAUAUAUAUAUAUAUAUAUAUAUUUAUUUAUUUAUUUUUUUUUUUUUUUUUACUUGUGGUAUAUAUUUUCCUCCCGCCCCCCACCGCUGCUGCCGCGUGCGUCGUGCCACCGCCGCUGCUGCAGCACACCCUUGGCUGCCACAGUUGUAGACGGGCCCAGUCGCUCUAACAUUGCCGCCGCAUGUUAGCUAAUGUGUCCUGGUGUGGGCGGGGUGGUGGUUACAGCUGCCGUUUUGCCUCCUCCAACUAGGUGUGGGCAGGGUGGUGGUUACAGUCCCCCUAUUGUCUACACCAACCAGGUGUGGGUGGGGUGGUGAUUAUAGACGCCCAACUGACUUCAUCUACUAGGUGUGGGUGUGGGCGGUGGCUGGCGCCAUCCCCUUGCUCUAGCCUGCUGGCACUACCAUGUGUAGGGUGUUGUUCGCCUGGCCCCGGCGUGUCCCACGGGGCCCCCCGUCAUGCCCCCGCCUCGCCCUGUCCCGCGGCCUCUCCCCGCCCAGGCCCCAGUGUGGUAAACCCCUGGAGGCCCCCGGGGGGUGGCGGGUGGCGGCGGGCGGGCAGUGGGCGGGUCGUACUAGUAUUGUUGGUAGUGGUGGCGUGCGGGCGGGCGAGCGGGGCCGAGCCGGGGAGCCUCUCCGGCCGCUUCACCCCCACCACCAGGACGCCAUUAGUAAUUUGAGGACCUGAUGUCAUGUUGUAUUGAAUAAAAAAGAUCAAGAAAGAAA